AACAACGCUGGCGGCGUGCCUAACACAUGCAAGUCGUACGAGAAAGGGUCCUUCGGGACCUGAGUAAAGUGGCGCACGGGUGAGUAACGCGUGGAUAAUCUGCCCCUCAGUUGGGAAUAACUCAUCGAAAGGUAGGGCUAAUACCGAAUAAUACUGUGAGACUUUGGUUGAUCAGUCAAAGAGAGCCUCUGCUUGCAAGCCCUCGCUGAAGGAUGAGUCCGCGUACCAUUAGCUUGUUGGUAGGGUAAUGGCCUACCAAGGCGACGAUGGUUAGCUGGUCUGAGAGGAUGAUCAGCCACACUGGAACUGAGACACGGUCCAGACUCCUACGGGUGGCAG
rnacentral:rRNA from 1 species